CCUACGGGGGGCAGCAGUGGGGAAUAUUGGACAAUGGGGGCAACCCUGAUCCAGCCAUGCCGCGUGUGUGAAGAAGGCCCUCGGGUUGUAAAGCACUUUCAGUGAGGAAGAACGCCUGGUGGUUAAUACCCAUCAGGAAAGACAUCACUCACAGAAGAAGCACCGGCUAACUCCGUGCCAGCAGCCGCGGUAAUACGGAGGGUGCGAGCGUUAAUCGGAAUUACUGGGCGUAAAGCGCGCGUAGGUGGCUUGAUAAGCCGGUUGUGAAAGCCCCGGGCUCAACCUGGGAACGGCAUCCGGAACUGUCAAGCUAGAGUGCAGGAGAGGAAGGUAGAAUUCCCGGCGUAGCGGUGAAAUGCGUAGAGAUCGGGAGGAAUACCAGUGGCGAAGGCGGCCUUCUGGACUGACACUGACACUGAGGUGCGAAAGCGUGGGUAGCAAACAGGAUUAGAUACCCGAGUAGUCC
rnacentral:rRNA from 1 species